rfam:Fukomys damarensis contig102157, whole genome shotgun sequence.
GUCAAAUAUCAUACCACCUGAAGGCACCUGAUCUCAUCUGAUCUUGGAAACUAAGUAGGGUCGGGCCUGCUUAGUACUGGGAUGGGAGACAAUUCGGUAAUUCUCUUACUUCUUUUU